rnacentral:rRNA from 1 species
AUUCCAGCUCCAAUAGCGUAUAUUAAAGUUGUUGCAGUUAAAAAGCUCGUAGUUGAAUUUCUGUACAGUCCCGGUUCUGGCUUCGGUCAAGCCGUGGAUUGUGCAUCCGCUUGCAAAUCUAGCUCGGCCUUCACUGGUCGACUAGGGGAGUAAGCCCUUUACUUUGAAAAAAUUAGAGUGUUUCAGGCAGGCAAUGGCUCGAAUACAUUAGCAUGGAAUAAUGGAAUAGGACUUUUGUCCAUUUGGUUGGUUAUUGGACAUGAGUAAUGAUUAAAAGGGACAGUUGGGGGCAUCAGUAUUUAAUAGUCAGAGGUGAAAUUCUUGGAUUUAUUAAAGACUAACUUAUGCGAAAGCAUUUGCCAAGGAUGUUUUCAUUG